UUUCGGCCAUAUCACGUUGAAACAUCAGUUCUCGUACGAUGACCGAAGUUAAGCAACGGCGAGGAUGAUUUAUACCUAGAUGGGUAACCGCUUGGGAAUACCAGGUGU